rnacentral:lncRNA from 1 species
CAGACAAACAUACGCUAUUAUUAAUUUACAUUAUUACUUUGAUGGCUACUAUAUGUACCAUCAGAAGCACAAUGGCAUGUCGUAACUAAGUAGUACGCCGACAUCUUGACUCUAAAUAACUUUAAUGUUCGAUAAAUGCAACAGAAUCUAAAAUGAACUAGCACCUACCUCAAAAACUUCAUUUUAAUUAGAUACUAUCCGAAUUUCAAGUGUACAAGUAACAAAAUAAUCUUCCGUCUGAAAGUUUUCAAUCGUAUGACGUCGUGUUUUGCCAUGACGUAAAUUCGCCAAAUCAUUCGUGAAAUUUCCCGGAAUUUUAUUUAAAUUUUAUUUUUUAUACAUUUUCGAAGCUUUAGUGCAUUUAUUUUAUUUCUUUUUUUCUUUUGGUUAUAUAUGCAUUAGAAUAGAAACAACUGUUAUGCAAUUGUUUUAUAAUCUCAACUUGCUUAAAAUCCCAUUAUCCCUGCAAGAAUGUGUAUUGCGCAUGAAUAGAUUACAAAAGUAGUUUCGGAAACAUGGUUUAUCGAAGUGUAAACCAAGAGAAAAAUUCUAAUUGACCAAUCCAAUUCAAGUAUUUAUAGAUAUGCAAAUGAUAUAAGAAUUAUUGACAUAUAUA